rnacentral:tRNA from 1 species
UCUCAGAUGGUCCAGUGGUCAAGAUUUCCGCCUGUCAGUUCAUAUUGGUGCGAACCUCCCUCCGAAUAUGUGCUCGCGGACGACCGGGGUUCGAUUCCCCGUCUGAGAG